UACAGAGGGUGCGAGCGUUGUCCGGAAUCACUGGGCGUAAAGGGCGCGUAGGCGGACAUUUAAGUCAGGGGUGAAAUCCCAGAGCUCAACUCUGGAACUGCCUUUGAUACUGGGUGUCUUGAGUGUGAUAGAGGUAUGUGGAACUCCGAGUGUAGAGGUGAAAUUCGUAGAUAUUCGGAAGAACACCAGUGGCGAAGGCGACAUACUGGAUCAUUACUGACGCUGAGGCUCGAAAGCGUGGGGAGCAAAUAGG
rnacentral:rRNA from 1 species